AGCCAGUGAUGACAAAACAAAAUAACUUUUCUGACACCUACUAUGAGAGCCUUGUGCUCCUGAUUCUAACUCUGUUCUGAGGCUC